GAUGAACGCUGGCGGCGUGCCUAAUACAUGCAAGUCGAGCGAACAGACGAGGAGCUUGCUCCUCUGACGUUAGCGGCGGACGGGUGAGUAACUCGUGGAUAACCUACCUAUAAGACUGGGAUAACUUCGGGAAACCGGAGCUAAUACCGGAUAAUAUAUUGAACCGCAUGGUUCAAUAGUGAAAGACGGUUUUGCUGUCACUUAUAGAUGGAUCCGCGCCGCAUUAGCUAGUUGGUAAGGUAACGGCUUACCAAGGCAACGAUGCGUAGCCGACCUGAGAGGGUGAUCGGCCACACUGGAACUGAGACACGGUCCAGACUCCUACGGGAGGCAGCAGUAGGGAAUCUUCCGCAAUGGGCGAAAGCCAGACGGAGCAACGCUGCGUGAGUGAUGAAGGUCUUCGGAUCGUAAAACUCUGUUAUUAGGGAAGAACAAAUGUGUAAGUAACUAUGCACGUCUUGACGGUACCUAAUCAGAAAGCCACGGCUAACUACGUG
rnacentral:rRNA from 1 species